AUGAUAAGUCUUCAAGAAUAUUAUACAACCAACUAUACAAAGUGCCCAAAAUGUGAAUAUUUUUUGUGCUCCUGGCAGGAUUACGCGCAUACCAUGCAUAUUUUUGCGGGAAUUGCAAUUCCAUUCUAUAGUUUUGGAUUUCAUUGUAUUUUAUUCAAAACUCCAAAACAUAUGAACAACUCAAAAGUCUCAUUACUGAACUUCCAUUUUUGGUAAUCAAGUGGAAACUUAAAGACAUAAAUGGAUCAUAAAAUUUGAAAACUCGAAGGAAUUUUUUUUAAUUGGCGAAUUCCAAAAAAGUGGCAAGAAACUGAGGUCUUGUCUUCUUGAUAUUAUAUUCAGUGCUCUUGUGACUCCGUAUUUAUUUUUGCCAGCGCUAGCCGGAUUUUCUCUAGGUCUAUUGCAAUUUUUGGAAGUUCCCAUAAAAGCACAACUAUGGCUUUUUUCUUUUUCUAUGCAUGCUGUCUACAUGUCAAUGACGUACCUACUUGAAACUCGUCACAAUUCAAUUCAGUUCAACAGGUUCCGGAUAACAUGCAAACGAUUCAAGACCGUUUACUAUUCUAUUCGUAUAAUGCUCGCAUUUAUAUAUUCUUUCACGAUCAUUGAAUUUGUGCCUGAAGAUCAGGAGACGUUAUAUUCUAAAGUUCUGGAAAAAGUCCCAUGCCCAGCGGAUGACUAUUUCAAAGCGGAGGAGCACUUUGUUCUGUGUGACAAUGAAGCUCAUUUCAAACUACUUCUCACGUUGGUCACAAUAAUGGGAGUAUCUGAAGGAUUACAAAUGAUGUUUUUCACAACAUGUUGUUUAUAUUACCUAUUCUAUUCUACUAAGCAAUUUACUUCAAAAAAGACGAGGCAAAUGCAAAUCACAUUUUUCCGAAAUAUUGUUCUACAAAUUUCAAUACCUGUUCUGUCCUUCUUACCAACUAACUUUGUCGUCACUACGUCAACUCUCGCCGAGUAUAAUAACCAAGCUCUUAUCAAUUUAUUUUUUAUCCACAUGUCCUUGCACGGAUUAUUGUCAACUUUUGUUAUAUUGUUCAUACAUCGUCCUUAUCGAGAAUUCAUUCUCUCAUUUUUUAUGCAGACAUCUUCAGCGGCUUCAGUGAAAUCAAUAGCUAAACUGACGCCAAUAAAAGUCGGUCAAACUUGUAUCACAAUUUGA